GGUUGAUCCUGCCAGUAAUCAUAUGCUUGUCUUAAAGACUAAGCCAUGCAAGUCUAAGGAUAAACACUUUUAUCGUAAACCUGCAAACGGCUCAUUAAAUCAGUUUCAAUCUACUCGGUUAUAUAAUUCUACUUGGAUAACUGUAGUAAUUCUAGAGCUAAUACAUGCAAAAAACCCGAACGUAAGAACGGGUGUAAAUAUUUGACUUUUAAAAUCAAUACAGGCAUUCAACUCUGGUUAGUAACUUUUCCAGGGGUCUGUUAUUUAAAAUGACUAAAAAUACAAUUACGAA
rnacentral:rRNA from 1 species